AAGUCGUAACAAGGUUUCCGUAGGUGAACCUGCGGAAGGAUCAUUCAUAAUAAGUGUUUUAUGGCACUUUUUAAAUCCAUAUCCACCUUGUGUGCAAUGUCAGUUGAUCUUCUUUAUGGAGAUCAACCAAACAUCAACCUAAUUUUUAACUCUUUGUCUGAAAAAUAUUAUGAAUAAAAUAAUUCAAAAUACAACUUUCAACAACGGAUCUCUUGGCUCUCGCAUCGAUGAAGAACGCAGCGAAAUGCGAUACGUAAUGUGAAUUGCAGAAUUCAGUGAAUCAUCGAAUCUUUGAACGCACAUUGCGCUCUCUGGUAUUCCGGAGAGCAUGCUUGUUUGAGUAUCAGUAAAACACCCUCAGCUCCCCUCUUUUCUCUGUCGAGAAAAAAAGGAGUUGGACUUGAGUGAUCCCGACGGCAGUGAUUUCUCUUAGAGAAUGAACUGCUGGCGGGUCGCUUGAAAUGCAGGUGCGGCUGGACACAUCUUCUGAGCUAUAAGCAUUACUUAUUUAGUCCCGUCAAACGGAUUAUUUCUAUUGCUGCAGCUAACAUAAAGGUCGAUUGUCCUUGUGCCCGUCUGAUGCAGGAAAACAAAGGAAAAGGGGGUUUUUUUUCCCUCUCUCCUCUGUUCAACUCGAUCUCAAAUCAAGCAAGACUACCCGCUGAACUUAA
rnacentral:rRNA from 1 species